rnacentral:lncRNA from 1 species
UGCAAGUGGAUGUUGCACAACCUGCACUUUACGUAGUCACUGUGAUGUGACUAACACCACCACCUACCUAGAGGUGAAUAACUGCAGGUCUACUGUGCCGGUGGAAAUCUCAGCCUGCGGGGGAUCCUGUGGAACGUCUUCUAUGUACUCUGCAGAGAAAAACACCUUGAUGCACUCCUGCUCCUGCUGUCAGGAGAUGUCUACCAGUGAGAGGAAGGUGGAGAUGCUCUGCCCUGACGGGAAGAAGAUCAUGCAGAACUACAUUUACAUUGAUAAGUGCGGCUGCCAUGACUCUGAGUGUGACAAGAAGAACCACG